rnacentral:tRNA from 1 species
UGCCGACUUAGCUCAGUUGGCUAGAGCACCUGUCUUGUAAACAGGGGGUCGGAAGUUCGAGUCUUCUAGUCGGCAU